rnacentral:rRNA from 1 species
AGGGAUGUCGGAUGAGUGGAGACGGGCGAGUACGCGUGGGAAUCUACCCAGUACUACGGAACAACACAGAGAAGUUUGUGCUAAUACCGUAUACGCCCUCCGGGGGAAAGAUUUAUCGGUAUCGGAUGAGCCCGCGUUUGAUUAGCUAGUUGGUGAGGUAAUGGCUCACCAAGGCGACGAUCAAUAGCUGGUCUGAGAGGAUGACCAGCCACACUGGGACUGAGACACGGCCCAGACUCCUACGGGAGGCAGCAGUGGGGAAUAUUGGACAAUGGGCGAAAGCCUGAUCCAGCCAUGCCGCGUGUGUGAUGAAGGCCCUAGGGUUGUAAAGCACUUUCAACGGUGAAGAUAAUGACGGUAACCGUAUAAGAAGCUCCGGCUAACUUCGUGCCAGCAGCCGCGGUAUACAAAGGGAGCUAGCGUUGUUCGGAAUUACUGGGCGUAAAGCGCGCGUAGGCGGGCUAUUAAGUUAGAGGUGAAAUCCCAGGGCUCAACCCUGGAACUGCCUUUGAUACUGGUAGUCUAGAGUUCGAGAGAGGUGAGUGGAAUUCCGAGUGUAGAGGUGAAAUUCGUAGAUAUUCGGAGGAACACCAGUGGCGAAGGCGGCUCACUGGCUCGAUACUGACGCUGAGGUGCGAAAGCGUGGGGAG